UCUACCGACUGCCCGNGUNAUCCUCUNAUUUAGCCGUUGNAUUNUAUAGAGAUCUCACACUGGCCGCUCGUUGUGACAGCCUAACACAUGCAAGUCGAACGGUAACAGGAAGCAGCUUGCUGCUUCGCUGACGAGUAGGCGGACGGGUGAGUAAUGUCUGGGAGACUGCCUGAUGGAGGGGGAUAACUACUAGGAAACGGUAGCUAAUACCGCAUAACGUACGCAAGACCAAGAGGGGGACCUUCGGGCCUCUUGCCAUACGGAUAGUAGCCCAGAUAGGGAUAUAGCUAGUAGGUAGGGGUAAACGGCUACACCUAGCGACACCCUAACAGGCAGAAGAUAGACCAC
rnacentral:rRNA from 1 species